rnacentral:rRNA from 1 species
UCCUACGGGAGGCAGCAGUGGGGAAUAUUGGACAAUGGGCGAAAGCCUGAUCCAGCCAUGCCGCGUGUGUGAAGAAGGCCUUUUGGUUGUAAAGCACUUUAAGCGAGGAGGAGGCUACUUAGAUUAAUACUCUAGGAUAGUGGACGUUACUCGCAGAAUAAGCACCGGCUAACUCUGUGCCAGCAGCCGCGGUA